rnacentral:rRNA from 1 species
UACGGGGGGGGCAAGCGUUGUUCGGAAUCACUGGGCUUACAGGGUGCGUAGGCGGCUUUUCAGGUCUGGUGUGAAAUCCCCCGGCUCAACCGGGGAAUGGCAUUGGAAACCGAAAGGCUCGAGGUAGCUAGAGGCAUGCGGAACUUCCGGUGGAGCGGUGAAAUGUGUUGAGAUCGGAAGGAACACCAGAGGCGAAAGCGGCAUGCUGGGGCUAUUCUGACGCUGAGGCACGAAAGCCAGGGGAGCGAACGGG